rnacentral:tRNA from 3 species
GCCCCGUUAGCUCAGUGGUCAGAGCGUGUCACGUCUUCUGGCAAGACACUGGUUCGAAUCCGGUACGGGGCA